rnacentral:rRNA from 1 species
UACAGAGGUCCCGAGCGUUGUUCGGAUUCACUGGGCGUAAAGGGUGCGUAGGUGGCCUGAGAAGUUUGAUGUGAAAGCUCAGGGCUUAACCCUGAAAUGGCAUUGAAUACUGUCGGGCUGGAGGUUUGGAGGGGGGACUGGAAUUCUUGGUGUAGCAGUGAAAUGCGUAGAUAUCAAGAGGAACACCAGUGGCGAAGGCGAGUCCCCGGACAACACCUGACACUGAGGCACGAAAGCUAGGGGAGCAAACAGG